rnacentral:tRNA from 2 species
AGCCCCUUAGUGUAGCGGUCCAUCAUCUGUGACUCUGGAUCACAGGACUCCAGUUCGAAUCUGGAAGGGGCUA